UGGGGAAUAUUGCACAAUGGGGGGAAACCCUGAUGCAGCGACGCCGCGUGAGUGAAGAAGUAUUUCGGUAUGUAAAGCUCUAUCAGCAGGGAAGAAAAUGACGGUACCUGACUAAGAAGCCCCGGCUAACUACGUGCC
rnacentral:rRNA from 1 species